CAAGAGUAUUUCAGUUUGGCUAUAUGCCCUCUGGAAAAUCUCCACCCUUUGUUUACACUACCUUUUGUUGUUGCCUUGGUGGGUGCCACCAUACACCUGCCGGCAGACACCUUUAAAACCCUUGAUUUAACUACUAUAGUCAGAGCUGUAACAAGCAAAAGAUUAAUAAAUCA
rnacentral:misc_RNA from 1 species